rnacentral:rRNA from 1 species
GGUUGUCAUGCCAAUGGCACUGCCCGGUAGCUAAAUGCGGAAGAGAUAAGUGCUGAAAGCAUCUAAGCACGAAACUUGCCCCGAGAUGAGUCUUCCCUGAGACUUUAAGUCUCCUGAAGGAACGUUAAAGACGAUGACGUUGAUAGGCCGGGUGUGUAAGCGCAGCGAUGCGUUGAGCUAACCGGUACUAAUGAACCGUGAGGCUUAACCUUACAACGCCGAAGCUGUU